AAAUAGUAUGCAAUUGUAUAGUAUCUUUUGCCCCUCUUACAUAGUUCUACAUAUUUUUAAAGAAUUAACUCUCUUAGGUGUUCUGUUCUGUCUUCUUGUCAAUUGCGUCGCUCAUGUGGGUAGCAUUGCAAUGAACCAUGAAAAUGAGGUUAAAAUCAGAUGAACCAUACCAUACCUUAUAGACAUGUACAUCUUACAAUCGAUAUAUGCAUUAAAUAUAUAUUUGACCUAUUGCUUAUAGUAUCGUCUGAACAAACUAAACUAUGAAAAAGUUAACAUUAAACAUGAAAAUGAGGUCACGAUCAGAUGAUACCUGCCAGACAUACCUUCUUGCACAUCUUGCAAUCCCUCCAUACAAUAAAUAAAGUUGACCUAUUGCUUAUAGUUUAAUAAAAAAAACGACCAAAAACACAUAAAAUCAACGCUGAGCAAUGCACCGUGAAAAUGAGGUCAAGGUUUAAUAAAAUAUGCGAGACUGACAAGUACAUCAUAAAAUAUUUCCACACAUUAAAUAUA
rnacentral:lncRNA from 1 species